AUGACAAUAACCUUCAGUGAUGCUACUGAAGACAAAAAAAUCAAGAUUACCAAGGAAGCUACCCACAAGGUGUUUGGAUACCCAAACGGCACGCAAAGGUCAGCACCAAGGCCAGAGACUAGCCCAGCUUCAAUGAAAGAACUAAUGUCAGAGCUUGGCUUCAAAGAUACAAAAUUCGCGCCAAAACAACUGUUUGAGAAGCUAGAAAUAUUAGUGGAAAUAGAUGAUGAAGAAUCAAACAGGAAAUCAGUUAAAAUAUUUUUCCUUAUUUUUUUCCACAAUGUUGUCUGCGGGUCAAGCGCCGCUAUCUUCGCCCGGACAGCUAUAAUGGUCAAGGACAUGGACUAUCCAGAAAUGACAAAGAUGGAUUUCUGCGAGGUAAUCGUCGAAUGUAUUAGGGAAGGAGCCAAGACAUGGCAGAAGCACAGGAUGUUGCCUCAAGAGGAAAAGAACAAAAAGCACAUCAAUGGUUUGGAACAGGUACCAGUAAUAAUGGACCUUGACUCCCUGUUGCUGCCAACUGACACAAAGGAAAUGCGGAACAUUGCAAAGACAAUGGACAAAACCUCAGUACCACGAGCAAACCAUCUCAAAGAGAGUGACCUAGCGAAAAUAGCUAGAGCAGACAUGAAAACGGAUGGAAAAGCAUGA
rnacentral:rRNA from 1 species